AGAGUUUGAUCCUGGCUCAGGAUGAACGCUGGCGGUAUGCCUAACACAUGCAAGUCGUACGAGAGUUUUUAACUCUAGUGGCGGACGGGUGAGUAACACGUGAGAAUUUGCCUUUAGGAGGGGGAUAACAAUUGGAAACGAAUGCUAAUACCCCAUAUGCUUUUGAGUGAAAUGGAUUUUAUCCGCCUAGAGAGAAGCUCGCGGCUGAUUAGCUUGUUGGUAAGGUAAGAGCUUACCAAGGCGACGAUCAGUAUCUGGUUUGAGAGGACGAUCAGACACACUGGAACUGAGACACGGUCCAGACUCCUACGGGAGGCAGCAGUGGGGAAUUUUCCGCAAUGGGCGAAAGCCUGACGGAGCAAUACCGCGUGAGGGAAGAAUGCCUAUGGGUUGUAAACCUCUUUUUUCAGGGAGGAAUAAAAUGACGUGUACCUGAAGAAUAAGCAUCGGCUAACUCCGUGCCAGCAGCCGCGGUAAGACGGAGGAUGCAAGUGUUAUCCGGAAUCACUGGGCGUAAAGCGUCUGUAGGUGGUUUAAUAAGUCAACUGUUAAAUCUUGAUGGCUCAACUUCAAAAUCGCAGUCGAAACUAUUAGACUAGAGUAUAGUAGAGGUAAAGGGAAUUUCCAGUGUAGCGGUGAAAUGCGUAGA
rnacentral:rRNA from 1 species